GAUGAACGCUGGCGGCGUGCCUAAUACAUGCAAGUCGAGCGAACAGACGAGGAGCUUGCUCCUCUGACGUUAGCGGCGGACGGGUGAGUAACACGUGGAUAACCUACCUAUAAGACUGGGAUAACUUCGGGAAACCGGAGCUAAUACCGGAUAAUAUAUUGAACCGCAUGGUUCAAUAGUGAAAGACGGUUUUGCUGUCACUUAUAGAUGGAUCCGCGCCGCAUUAGCUAGUUGGUAAGGUAACGGCUUACCAAGGCGACGAUGCGUAGCCGACCUGAGAGGGUGAUCGGCCACACUGGAACUGAGACACGGUCCAGACUCCUACGGGAGGCAGCAGUAGGGAAUCUUCCGCAAAGGGCGAAAGCCUGACGGAGCAACGCCGCGUGAGUGAUGAAGGUCUUCGGAUCGUAAAACUCUGUUAUUAGGGAAGAACAAAUGUGUAAGUAACUAUGCACGUCUUGACGGUACCUAAUCAGAAAGCAACGGCUAACUACGUG
rnacentral:rRNA from 1 species